ensembl:lncRNA novel transcript
UCCUGACGCUCUCAGAGUCUGGCCUUCUGCUGGGCCCCGGGUCUCUCACUGGCAGAAUGGAGUUCUCGGAGCUGAUCCAUACGGGCUGAGCCCAAGCAGAGUUUCUACGGGGCCCGGAGGCGCCCCCGCUUCGCGGCACGGUGUGAGUCACCGUCCACCACCUGCUCCUGUCGCCAGGGCCCGCGUCCUCUCCGGACCUGUGGCUGCUGCUGUUGCGUAGCGUCGACUCCUUCGAGAAGCAGUGAGACGUGGCGGGGUGGGGGAGGGUCCCCGGGGUUGGGGAGCGCGCGGCUUGGCGGAGUAGGGGGCACGGCCAGCGCAGUCAGAGCUGGCGCCCUCCUGCGUAAGCCCAAUCCGGGAAACUCGUUGCCCCUCUCCUGGGAAAGGAACGUCCCUCCCCAGGGUUGCGAGUGACUCGGGCACCAUCACCCUGUGCUGUAAAGACCUGCGAGUGCUGCAGCUGGAAAUAGAGGGCGCGGAAGCGACGCUGGGCAUCGCCCGCUCCAUCGAGGUGUGCCGAGGGAGCUCCCGAGCCCUUUAAGCUCUCCCUGUCUCGCGUAGAGGGGAAUAAAAAGGUGCUUCUGUUCAAAGAGGCUCCGCAGCCGCAGCUAAAUGGCAGGGGGAUGCAGGGUGGUCCGGGGUACUUGGAGAGGCCGAAGCUGAAGCUACAGGACUGAGGGGCUGGAAAGGGCGCGGGCGAGACAAUUCCGACCCUCCCCAGAGCCCCUGACUUCCUUCUCCGGACGCUGUCCUCCCUGGAAUCAGUCAUCACCUCCUUCCCUUUAUUCUACCGUCCCAAGGGCCUGAGAUUGGGCGACUCCUGGCACUUCCUCCCGCCCGAACUCUACUGCAAGAGAGUAGCUCGCGAAGUGGGCGCGGUCGUAGGGGCCCGGGAAGGUGGAAGCGCCGGGCCUGGAAGAGGCGCGGGGACAGGGCACUCCCUGGGUGCCCUAGACCUGGCCUCUCUCCUCCCUGCGCUGCAGACCAACGCGUGGCGGCUGAGCGAGGUGAACGAGGACUUCAGCUUGUGCCCCAGAUACCCCCGUGCGGUGAUCGUGCCAUACUUGGUGGACGAUGAUGCCCUGGCGCGCAGCGCCCGCUUCCGUCAGGGAGGUCGCUUCCCGGUGCUCAGCUACCACCCGGCUCCCAGCGGCAGAGGGAGCGCGCCCUCCCCACGCUCCGCCCCUGGGUGGCUGCGUCCUUUCUGGGCCUUUUCUUUUUGGCCCGGUCAAUUCGCGGCGUAGCCGCUGCCCCAACUCCUGCCCCAUUCUGGUCCCGCCCCUCUCCCGCCUUUUCGCUGGGAAGGGUAUCACCUUUCUCUGGCCCCGCCCCUGACGGUUCCGGGCCCCGCGAAGCUUAGUCCCUUCUUUGUCAAGCCAGGACCCGCCCACGGUCUAUUCAUAGGGUCCCAAACCACUUUGGCCACAACACCCCCAGACUGGUCCGAAGCCUCGUGAGUUCGCCCUGGUCGUUGCACUCCAGCCUGUCGCUGUGCAGACCUGGCUUAGAGGACCCCUAAGGCUGAGGGGUCACUUCCAGAACUGAGUCCGGUCCGCAGGUUCUGCUACGCUCCAGCCAGCCCCUAACUGGUCCCCAGAAGCGGCGCUGCUACAGGGACCAGGAGCUGCUGCGAACUGCGCUGGCGGGGGCUCGUCCUUGGGCGCGGGGCUUCAUCAUGGACACGCUCUCGGCCCAGGCCGCGAAACAAGCCCGCGUGACUGGCGGAGGCACAGAGACCAAGGCCGCUUAACCUGGCUGGUUGCACUGGUCCCUGGAGAGAGGGCGUCCCCUGCAGGAGAGCUUCAUGCGCCUGGUGGAGGCCUGUGGGGACUCGGAGCAAAGCAUGGACAACUGGCUGAGUCGGCUGGACGGCUGCCGCUGACUGUAACAUGUAAAGCAGGCACUGAGCACCACCUGCCUGGCAGUCCAGGGCAUGGAGAGGCACAGACAGCACCCUGCUUGUGACUUCACUGGCCCAACUCAUCCUGGACCCCUUGAGCAAGACCAUGGCUGGAUUCCAGGAACUGGUGGAGUGGAAGUGGAUCCAGGAAAAUGCCGUGUGAAGGGAGGACUCAGAUGCACUCCCUGUGGUCUGGGCUCAACCAGCCAAAAGAGCAACAAAGACUCCAGAACCCACUCUACCUCCUCAAUCCCUUGGCCAUCUGUGGAGCCCCAGAGCCUGCGGCUGUGGCAAGGCCUGUUUCUGCGCUGGACCUGCUCACCUGAGCCUGCAGAAGCUGCAUGGGGGAAGAGUGUGGCAAAUAGUGACAGGAAGGGAGAAGACAGAAGCCUCUCAGCCAACUGCUUCAGCCGAGCCCCUAUUCUAAGCACUGGCUCCUUGGAUAGCAGCUGAGAUGUUCCUGAAACCUCUGCAGGCCCCUUAGGACCUUUACACCUUGGAUGAGGGUGCCUGCAACCCAGGUUAGCCAAAAGUACUGAGGGUCUUAAGUUUGAAGUGUCCAAAGUAUAGGGAGGUCUCAAUAAUAAAAGUCUCCAUGAUCAGCA